UAGCUCAAGUGGUUAGAGCAAAGGACUGAAAAUCCCUUGAUGAGUGGUUCGAAUCUGUUU
rnacentral:tRNA from 1 species